rnacentral:rRNA from 1 species
UGGGGAAUUUUGGACAAUGGGCGAAAGCCUGAUCCAGCAAUGCCGCGUGUGUGAAGAAGGCCUUCGGGUUGUAAAGCACUUUUGUCCGGAAAGAAAUCCUUGGCUCUAAUACAGUCGGGGGAUGACGGUACCGGAAGAAUAAGCACCGGCUAACUACGUGCCAGCAGCCGCGGUAAUACGUAGGGUGCAAGCGUUAAUCGGAAUUACCGGGCGUAAAGCGUGCGCAGGCGGUUUGCUAAGACCGAUGUGAAAUCCCCGGGCUCAACCUGGGAACUGCAUUGGUGACUGGCAGGCUAGAGUAUGGCAGAGGGGGGUAGAAUUCCACGUGUAGCAGUGAAAUGCGUAGAGAUGUGGAGGAAUACCGAUGGCGAAGGCAGCCCCCUGGGCCAAUACUGACGCUCAUGCACGAAAGCGUGGGGAGCAAACAGGAUUAGAUACCCUGGUAGUCCACGCCCUAAAACGAUGUCAACUAGUUGUUGGGGAUUCAUUUCCUUAGUAACGUAGCUAACGCGUGAAGUUGACCGCCUGGGGAGUACGGUCGCAAGAUUAAAACUCAAAUGAAUUGACGGGGUCAUAGCUGUUUCCU